UUGCUUUGGCAGCAAAUAUACAAAAGUUGGAAUGAAUACAGAUAAGAUGAGCAUGGUCCCUGCACAAGGAUGACACACAAAUUCGUGAAGCAUUCCAUAUUUUU
rnacentral:snRNA from 1 species